rfam:Rattus norvegicus chromosome 10, whole genome shotgun sequence.
GGGGAUUUGGCUCAGUGGUAGAGCGCUUGCCUAGGAAGCACAAGGUCCUGGGUUCAGUCCCCAGCCCUG